ACAUGAUUUGGUCUCAUAUUCUCUCACAUACAAACUCUCUUGUUCUUCAUAACUCUCUUAAUCUUUAAUACAAUUCCGCAUAUUCUUUCAACUUAUGCUUGGCUACCACAAAAAUUUGGGAUCUACACGGCUAAAUCACCUUCAAGGAGCUAACAAUGGCUUUAACUGGACAAAAGAGAAUUGGAAUACUAUGAAGAUCUGGGAAGUGGCUCCACUAAAACAUUCGAUAUUCACUACAUCAAAAACUCCUACUAGGAAGAAGAUUGGCGUUCCAGCUUAGGUAAGCCCUGCUCAAACCAUUACUAAAGUUAUUGAGCAGCAAAGUUGGGAAGAGGAAGAGCAAAGAUCAUAAAAUAAAGAAGUCGAAAUAAACAAUCUAACGGGGCAGACAAAAGUAAGAAAAUUAUACAAAUUCGAUAUGAAUUUUUAUUUAAAUAAAGAUUAAACAAAUUUGAUACCAUCUAAUUAAAUAGUCAUUUCAAUAUAUUUUAUGAAACAAAACAAGAG
rnacentral:misc_RNA from 1 species